rnacentral:rRNA from 1 species
UACGAAGGGGGCUAGCGUUGCUCGGAAUCACUGGGCGUAAAGGGUGCGUAGGCGGGCCUUUAAGUCAGGGGUGAAAUCCUGGAGCUCAACUCCAGAACUGCCUUUGAUACUGAAGAUCUUGAGUUCGGGAGAGGUGAGUGGAACUGCGAGUGUAGAGGUGAAAUUCGUAGAUAUUCGCAGGAACACCAGUGGCGAAGGCGGCUCACUGGCCCGAUACUGACGCUGAGGCACGAAAGCGUGGGGAGCAAACAGG